GGGGCGGUAGCCAGGUGGUAAGGCACAGGUCUGCAACACCUUUUGGCCCCCGCAACUCCCUUAACUGAUUGAAUUUCCUGGGCGGCUCCA
rnacentral:tRNA from 1 species